GAUGAACGCUGGCGGCGUGCCUAAUACAUGCAAGUCGAGCGAACAGACGAGGAGCUUGCUCCUCUCACGUUAGCGGCGGACGGGUGAGUAACACGUGGAUAACCUACCUAUAAGACUGGUAUAACUUCGGGAAACCGGAGCUAAUACCGGAUAAUAUACUGAACCGCAUGGUUCAAUAGAGAAAGACGGUUUUGCUGUAACUUAUAGAUGGAUAUGCGCCGCAUUAGCUAGUUGGGAAGGUAACGGGUUAUCAAGGGAACGAUGCGUAAGCGACCGGCGAGGGGGAUAGGCCGCACGGGAGCUGAGACACGGACCAGACUACUACGGGAGGCAGCAGUAUGGUACGGUCCGCAAUAGGCGGAAGCCUGGCGGAGCAGCGCGGAGUGAGUGAUGGAGGUCUUCGGAUCGGGAAACUGUGUUAUUAGGGAAGAACAAAUGUGUAAGUAACUAUGCACGGCUUGACGGUAACUAAUCAGAAAGCCACGGCUAACUACGUG
rnacentral:rRNA from 1 species